GCGGGCGUAGCUCAGUUGGCAGAGCACUAGCUUCCCAAGCUGGUUGUCGCCGGUUCGAAUCCGGUCGCCCGCU
rnacentral:tRNA from 2 species